AAGCAAUUAAUUGCGUUAAAACCGAAAUUUGAGCGAACUGUUGAGGAAUGCGAUGCAAGAAUUAAAGCGAAAUUCGAUUCUAUCCUUCAUACUCUUCAUUCAACUGGAGUAAAAGCUUUAGAAGAUUUCAUCGAGUGACUCAAUUACCACCACAUGGAACCGUACAUGAAUUAACCAGUAACGUAUUAAUGUUUCUCGAGCAAUUACAUAUUAGAAUACACCGAAACGAUUGGAAGAGUUUUAUCUCAAGAUCCAAGUUACGAUCUCCAAUACGAUAAAGCAAAAACCAGUAACAAAAAUAAAGUUCUUUUAGGAUUUUAUAUAAAGAAAGUUUUGGUUCAAUUAAGUCAUACUUUAUGCAGUAAGAGUGAGCAAUACAGCGAUCCAGCUUUAAAAGCAAUUUUUCGCUUAAAUAGUAAUAAUUAUGUAUUAAA